rnacentral:tRNA from 1 species
GGGCGAGUGCUGAAACUGGUAGACAGGCUGGCUUGAGGGGCCAGUGCUCUUCGGAGCGUGGAGGUUCAAGUCCUCUCUCGCCCACCA